AAGACGUGGGGGCACCCUGACCGCAAUGCCGCGUGAGUGAAGAAGGCCUUCGGGUUGUAAAGCUCUUUUGUCAGGGAAGAAACACCGGCUCUAACACAGUCCGGGAAUGACGGUGCCUGAAGAAUAAGCACCGGCUAACUACGUGCCAGCAGCCGCGGUAAUACGUAGGGUGCAAGCGUUAAUCGGAAUUACUGGGCGUAAAGCGUGCGCAGGCGGUUAUACAAGACAGGCGUGAAAUCCCCGGGCUUAACCUGGGAAUGGCGCCUGUGACUGUAUAGCUAGAGUGUGUCAGAGGGGGGUAGAAUUCCACGUGUAGCAGUGAAAUGCGUAGAUAUGUGGAGGAAUACCAAUGGCGAAGGCAGCCCCCUGGGAUAACACUGACGCUCAUGCACGAAA
rnacentral:rRNA from 1 species